GAGUUUCCUUAGUAAGUUCAGUGACAUUGUCAAGAUCGCUCAAAAUUCUCGUAACCAAUUUUGGAAAUGGAUUUCGAUUUUUGCGAUUUAACAAAUUACCAACAUCCUCCGUGUUUGUUUACACUGUGCUCAGAGAGAACGCAGGGCAAGGGAACCGGCUCCUGAGCCUGAACCACAACGACCUGAGCCUGAACCUGAACCUGAACCUGUUCAAGAACCUGCUCAAGAACCGGCUGACGAACCGCCUGCUGAACCAACUGAGGAAGAACCGCCAGAAGAAAGUCAACCAGCUGCUGAGGGCGACACUGGUGAAGGCAGCGAAGAGAAAAAGGAUGAAGAAGCCUAAAUUAUUAACUCAAAUUUGUGUUAGUUUUAUAUUAAAUCCAUUGUCAAAUCGUGAUUGUAAAAAUGAGUCCUAAUUAUAGUUUUUUUGAGUAAAA